GUGAGGAAUAUUGGUCAAUGGGCGAGAGCCUGAACCAGCCAAGUCGCGUGAAGGAUGAAGGUUUUAUGAAUUGUAAACUUCUUUUGCAGGGGAAUAAAGUACGGUACGUGUACCGUUUUGUAUGUACUCUGCGAAUAAGGAUCGGCUAACUCCGUGCCAGCAGCCGCGGUAAUACGGAGGAUCCGAGCGUUAUCCGGAUUUAUUGGGUUUAAAGGGUGCGUAGGUUGUUUGAUAAGUCAGCGGUGAGAGUUUGCAGCUUAACUGUAAAAAUGCCGUUGAAACUGUCGGACUUGAGUGUAAAUGAGGUAGGCGGAAUGCGUGGUGUAGCGGUGAAAUGCAUAGAUAUCACGCAGAACUCCGAUUGCGAAGACAGCUUACUAAGCUACAACUGACACUGAAGCACGAAAGCGUGGGGAUCAAACAGGAUUAGAAACCCUAGUAGUCC
rnacentral:rRNA from 1 species